GCGGGUCUCUCUCUCCUCUCCCUCGCGCGCGACAGCCGGCCACGUUUUGGCCGGCCGUGCUCUCCUCCGGCCACCAAUGGCGACGGGACCGGUACCAAAAUGACCGGGCCGUCGUCCUCUUCCUACCCCAGCCAUCCCCCGCCUCCAGCCGCCGUGGUUUCGCCGGAAUUUGGAGAAGAAGCGGCCGACGUCGCCGAAUUUUCAAAGCCGUCGAUCUCCCUCCUCCGGCCACCAAUUUCGUCGAUCCAGGUAUGGAUUUUGAACCUCUCAAGCUGCUCUAGCUGAUGGUUGGGUAGGAUUAGAUCGAUUCUUAGCGUAGAUCACUCGAUUUUCGAAUUGAAAAUCGGCCGAAACUUCGGCCGCCGUGAUCGGCCACUUCCGGCCAGUUUUUGGGGUAGGUCCAAGAACAAAAGUGACUCCAAAUGAGGUGUUUUACCUAGGAUAGGAGUUUGGAGUCUUGGUUCCGAGAUUUUUCGACGAACCAUAAUCGCUUUGGACACCCGAUCUGCCCGCGCGUGUGGCAGCGCGUGGGCGAGGGUGGUGGAGUGACUCUGGGCCGUUUUGAGAUCCUCGUGCCGUCACGAGCGCGUAGGAUUUCGCGGAUCUCAAUUCGGACGUCGUUUGACUAUCGAACGGAGAAUCGCAUAUCGCGCGUUAUCCGGGUUCGAUAGGUUGGGACCGUUGGAUGGACCCAAAUUUAAUAUAUGUUAAUCUAGGUAAUUUUAGGAUCGUGUAGGAAUUCACGGAUUGUGAAUCGGAGCCCCGGAUGUUCCGAUUUAAUAAUUUAAAGUUCAUAUUUUAUAUUAACCGUCGGAUCGUGCGAUCGUGAGAAAUCCGACCGUCCGAUCUGAACCAAACUUGCAGGACAAGUGUACUAUACCUGGUAGAACCCAUAGGGACUUCCGGAUCGGAAAUUGGAGGUCGUGGGUUCUGCAGGUCCGGUUGACCAGGGUUAGAAUAGUUUGACCCUCGGUUGACCGAGAGUCUCCCGGAGUAAUCUCACCCUUCCAGGGGGAAUUAUCGGGAGCUAGACUAUUGUGGAGGGUUACACAAUAUUAGAAUUAUUUAUAUAAAUUAUGUGGUUGUACAAGGGUACAACAAAGUCUAGAUUGUCAGUUUGGAGUGCUAUACGCACUACUUUAGGUACCUCCUCGGAUGUUGGAUCCACUACAAGUACCACCAAGUGAAAGUAGGUCCCGCGUGGCGUAGGUUAUCCGGCGUUGGGACAGACCCCAUACGUGGCGUUGGUUGUACCGGCGUAUGGGGAGCUAUGUAAUAUUAUGUUGAGGUCGCACGUGGCGUAGGUUAUCCGGCGUGUCGACAGACCCCAUACGUGGCGUUGGUUGUACCGGCGUAUGGGGAACUUUGUGAUAUAAUAUUGAGGUCCCACGUGGCGUAGGUUAUCCGGCGUUGGGACAGGCCUCAUACGUGGCGUUGGUUGUACCGGCGUAUGGGGAGUUAUGUGAUAUGAUGUGCAGGUCGCACGUGGCGUAGGUUAUCCGGCGUGUCGACAGACCCCAUACGUGGCGUUGGUUGUACCGGCGUAUGGGGAACUUUGUGAUAUAAUAUUGAGGUCCCACGUGGCGUAGGUUAUCCGGCGUUGGGACAGGCCUCAUACGUGGCGUUGGUUGUACCGGCGUAUGGGGAGUUAUGUGAUAUGAUGUGCAGGUCGCACGUGGCGUAGGUUAUCCGGCGUGUCGACAGACCCCAUACGUGGCGUUGGUUGUACCGGCGUAUGGGGAACUUUGUGAUAUAAUAUUGAGGUCCCACGUGGCGUAGGUUAUCCGGCGUUGGGACAGGCCUCAUACGUGGCGUUGGUUGUACCGGCGUAUGGGGAGUUAUGUGAUAUGAUGUGCAGGUCUCACGUGACGUAGGUUAUCCGGCGUUGAGACAGACCCCAUACGUGGCGUUGGUUGUACCGGCGUAUGGGGAGAUUAUAUGAAAUGAAAUAAGGUAUCGCCCAAGUGGGGAAUUGAGUUUUAGGGAAGAACUACGUGUGGCUUGAUCCCUCAAGGAGGGUACGUAGGCAGCCUAAGGUUAGGUGCAGCCGCAGACUAAAUGUUAGUCAUAUUUGGUAUUUGAAUGGUUUGGUAGUUGGAUAGGAAUUAUUGAAAGGCCGAAGGCCAUUUGUGUGAAUUGCAUGAAAUUAUAUUGUGCAUGCUGCCAGUUGGGAAUAUUAAAUGUGUUUUUAUGCAGGUUGAAAUUUUGGGAUAUGUCCAAUUUAUAGGGGAGACUCUGCCGAAAUUUCGGCAGGAAGUCUCAGUUUUUAGUAAGCGGGCCUGACAUCGGGGUGAUGUCAGGAAUUCCAAAGGGUUCGUCUCGGGUUUUUGAGAAAAUUCGGGGCGGGUCCUUAAACUACGAGUGGCUUGAUUCCCACAAGGGAUACGUAGGCAUCCUGAGGUUGGACUUGGGAGCAGCUGCAAAAUCAAACACACACGUUCUGUUUCUUUAUGAUGGAAUCAAAGGGUUUUCCCUUGAAGCAAGGGAUUGUAAUUAAGAGACUUACGUCUCGAAUGGGUCGAACCUAAAAUAAUAAAACCCCAUUAUUUAAUUAGUGGUGGUGAAAUUAUAUUAGGAAGAUCACAAUUUUCCUUCAACAUAGCUCAUCCCCACAUUUAAAUUAAAGCCCACUGUAUUUUCUUCAAUAAUUUGUUUAUCAUUGUUUUUAUUACUUUUAUGCGAUUCUUGUACUAACCAUAUUCUUCCAUAAUUUAUUUCUCAUUGUUCCAAUCGUUGAUAUUACAAUUUACAAUUAAUAAACUAAAGUACAUUUUUAAAAUGAAGUUUUCGAAAGAAGUACCAAAUUUGAAUCUUCCCCUUUUACUCAUCACAAGAAAAAAAAAUAUCCCUAAAAUGUUAGAAAUUAUAAGCCUUUAUAUUUUCUCUCAAAAUAGCAGCAAGUUAAAUUUAGAGGGGCAAACGUGCCUGAUAUAAGUAUUUUAACAACCCUCUAUAGGUAUGGCUACAUAAAACAAGGUAACGAGAUUAUCUUUGUUCUUUUACCAGAGGGGCAGACGUGCAUGAUAUGUAUGUAGUCUUUCAAGGAACAUUCUGGCUUUGAAGUUAUCUCCUAUUCUUAGCUAGGCAGCCCAAAUCUCUAGGCAUAUGCACAUCGCAUCAUGGGGAUCAUUGUAUUUUGCUUUAGCAAAUCUAGUUGUUUCACCCCAAAAAAAAAUAUCCAGUUGUUUCCAGGUUGAUUUCAAUUCAACGUUAAAGGUAAGAGGAAAAAAAAAAUUCUUGAAAAUAGUUGUAGGUUUUUUUAUUUUAUUUUUAUAAAUAUAAAACACCAAACUCAGUGAUAAAACUAAACUAAAAAUAAAAAGAAUAAAAUUUAAACACUCUGAAUGAGAUGAGAUUAGCAGGGCAUUUGAGAAGUGAACCACUCCAUGACAUGAAUUUGGGCUUUGACCAACUCCACGACCACCGUCACGCACAAACAGCACGGGCAUAUGCAAGUCAGCAACAAUCUGACGAUCCAGAUAACGAGGCCGACGAUGGAGAGGACGAGGGAGAGGAGAGCAAAAGGAAGGCCGAGCAGAAAGCCCAGAGGCCUGCAAUCACCUUCUGAAGAGCAAAUUUUCUCUCACUUUCUUUCUUCUUCUUAUUUUCUGGGAUUUUGGUUCUUCAGCAGCAACUGCUUGAGAGAGAAGAGAAUGGAGAGAGACUUGUUUAGUAAUGGGAGACGGCACACGCUGUGUAUUGUAUUGUUGGAAAUUUCUUGUGCUUUUCUGGAAAUAGUUAUAGUUACUUGGACUAGGGAUUCCAUUCCAUGACUUUGACUCUAUUAAGACAAUUUCAUUGUCUGGGAUAAAUAUUAUUCAUCACUUGAGAUUCAGAGAAAAAUAUUCUUGAUCAUUUGAGAUUAAGAAAUAAAUAUUUUUG
rnacentral:lncRNA from 1 species